UCCUUGCGCUUGCGCAGCGGGUGAUGAAACCACUGAGCCAAAUCCCCGGCCCUCAUGGUUUGCUCUUUCUCUCCCAUGCUACCGAAGGCAAAAUGUAUCCAACGAGUGUACAUGAUAGGAUUUUUAGAAGAAGGAGGGCUUCCACAGGAAAAGCUUCAAAGAAGACGUGGAAUUUGAAGAUGCAGAAUCAACCUGAAGCAAACAUGCUAACUCGAUGUCAGGCAGGAGCCUGGAUUCUAUCUGCGUUCAUCUGACUCCAAAGCCUUUCCCUGUUGCCUUGCGGGGACUGAAGUAGUCACAUAAAAGCGUUCAAUUUUGCUGCUGCUUCCACACAUACUUGGAGGCCAGCUAUGGGAUGUCCAGACAUAACUCCAGUGGUCCAGUGAUGCUGUGAUGCUUCAGGACAAGAUUACACCAGCUGAAAACAUCCUGGGAGGAACAAAAUCUUCAUCUGCAUAGUUCCUCAUUGUUCUAGGAUUUUCCCAGAUGCUGCCCUCUGAGCUAAAUGUUGUAUUUGUUCCUCCUGAUGCACUGAACUCUCUGUCCUGAGUCAUCUGUUAGAUUUGUUUCUUCCUAUAUACUGAACAAAGGUGUGGCAAGCUAGGGGCUUUCAUUCUUGCUGUGAUACUAGGAGUUGCUGCAGGGGUUCUAGUAACUUCCCAUUUCCCUGUUCUCUACAACCAAAUAUUGUUGCACAGGACACACUGAAUAUCCAAGGAGCUGCCUUUCAAAAUAAAUCUCUUAUUUUGCCUUCACAAAUGGCUAAUCACAUUGUAUUAAGAGUUAGCAGCUUUCUCUCUUGGAAGGAGUGAGUUUGAAACUAAGCAGAUGGGGGAAAAAAGAGUUUUUUGCAACCAUCACCCCCUUUAUUUUUCAGGCUAUAAAAUAUCAGAGACUAUACAGUAUACAGCAAGUGAAGGAUUUUAAAUGAGCCCUUCAGGAAAAGGAUGGCUCAUUAAAAAAAUCAGGGAAU